rnacentral:misc_RNA from 1 species
GAUGAAGAACGCAGCGAAAUGCGAUAAGUAAUGUGAAUUGCAGAAUUCAGUGAAUCAUCGAAUCUUUGAACGCACAUUGCGCCCGCCAGUAUUCUAGCGGGCAUGCCUGUCUGAGCGUCAUUUCAACCCUCAUGCCCCUAGGGCGUGGUGUUGGGGAUCGGCCAAAGCCCGCAAGGGACGGCCGGCCCCUAAAUCUAGUGGCGGACCCGUCGUGGCCUCCCCUGCGAAGUAGUGAUAUUCCGCAUAGGAGAAGCGACGAGCCCCUGCCGUUAAACCCCCAACUUUCUCAGGUUGACCUCAGAUCAGGUAGGAAUACCCGCUGAACUUAAGCAUAUCAAUAAGCGGAGGA